ACCCCACCAGGCCUUCUAGAACAUUCCAGGCCAACGGAGGCGCCAGGCAGCCUGAGUGCGUGCGUCUUUCGGGUUCAGCUCCUGCAGGAAACCAUGAUCCUGCUUGCCCUACUGCUCGUCGUGGGGCUCCCUCUGGUGGAGAGCAAUGGCACUGCCGUUAGUGAGCAACGUUGGACCUUUAAUGUGACCUGUUCUGAAUGUUGGAGUCUCAAUACAUUCCAAUG